AGCGAGUUCUGGUGGCUGCGGACCACCAUGGCUCCAGGAGCUUCACCCUAAGCAGGGUGCAGAGCGCUGAUAAGAGCUUUUUAAAGCCAGCCUGGCAGUACGAAGAUAUUUUUUCUUUUCCCCUCCGUGGAAACGUGUUAUGUUUUGUGCGGACGGUUUGUCGCUUGUUCUCGACAGAGCCUGACCCGGUGAGGACCGAGAAGGGGGAAAAGAGGAGAGAUACAGCCCUCGAGUCGUUGCGAAAGGCGCUGGCUACGGUGCCUCCUUCGCGGCAGCACCCUGCUCCCUCGCAGGAAAACACCCCUGAGCUUCGGCACAUACCACAGUACAGAGUCCGCAGGACGGUCCUGCUCUAGCCUUACCAGGGAGGCCACCUCUCUACAAGUGUUUGCUUUUCCUCCCUGUCCUGCCCUCUGAAGUGGUUGCUCAAGCCAGGCUUUCCUACCUCACCUAAUGUGGGUCUGCAGUGGAGCACAAAGUACAAACUCCCCGCAGAGCACAAGGCUUGUGAAGCUCCGAAAUAACCCCCACGCCUCCACCCAAAGCGAGCUGCAGAAAAAUCUGCUCGGAAGAA